CAGAGAAAUAUGGUUUCCCUGAGACUCAAAACCAUGGUGAGGUUGGUUCUACCAGUAGGUUGUGGUAGUCUUGCGAAGCCAGUGUGGAUGUUCUAUCCCAUCCCUCUCCAGCAGAUCUGCUCCUAAGUACCUGAGGUCUAACAUGCAACGAAGUAAAUUGAAAGACCUACUGGGAAGUCUGAAACAUCACCAUUAUGGCCACCUCUUGGGGAGGAAGAAAAGCAUGUAUCAGAGCCAUGAGCUGGAAAUCUUGCUCUUUUCUAACAGUGAGGACCUUCCUAAAGGCAAACCUUGGUGCUGAGGUGGGGUACCCACACGCGGGACAUGGCACUCUUGUGUAGUAAUAAUCUUUUCUUAGGGUGCCUACUGUGGUCAGGUCACAGGAAAAGAGGUUCUGGCCCCAGAGCUGGUGUGUUUCCAUUCUAUCUUGUCCUUUCCACCAGCUCUCUACCUGGCCCUGCCAAAGCUUGUGUAGGGGGCAGGGACAGGUAAGCAGGAGAUGGCACGAAGAUAUCCUGAAUUUUCUUCAUAUUGACCUCACAUGAGGAAGUGCAUGGAAGGAAGAGGGCUCAGCCAGGAAUGGAAAGUCUAAGGUUGGAACAACUCUAGACUGAGCUGGACCAAGGGAGCUUCACACUGGACUCUCAGGUCUUAAAGUCUAUGCCACUGACUUUUGUGAUUCAGGACCAUCACCAUCACCCACUAGAAGGGAGACACAGGCUCCCUUCUAGCUCUCCCACACAAAGGGUAGCAUUUCUAGGAUGAAAUAUAGCCCAGCAAGGAGAGAUCCAGACAUCUGAGGAAGAGCAAGUAGGUAUGAAAUUAUGGAGUGCACCUGUGUACGGAGAGAAGGUAGAGAGAAGACCUCUGCCCCAGGAACCCACAUUCCUUCCCUAGAUGCCACUCCAAACACAGCAAGGCAAUGUGCUGAUGCUUGAAGAUUCUCCAGUCUACAUCACUGCCACGUCUCUGUCACUUGACAGGAGGCAAGGUUAGACUUAUGAAUGCCACAACACCCAAAAGAAAAUAUUUCGGCAAGAAGAUACACAGUCCUAAAGAAAACAUAACCCAAGUCGCAAAGGACUGAGGAAGUAGGCUGUCAGCAGCCCUGGAGUGGGCUCACUCGCUGCACUGGCUGACACAAUGAUAAGCGGCGGUAAUUUGCCUUAAAAACCUUAAUGAGUGGAUCAUCGCACGGAGGAAAGGGAAGCAGACCCGGGUCCCACGGCGGCCCCGCGCCACGCUCGGCUGUGCAGUAAGCAGACAGCCACAGUGACAUCGUUGCCUGGGCUCCCCAGAUGCAAACCCUCUCCCUCACUUCCAGAGGUAAUGAGGAGGUAAUGAGGCUUGGCCUUGGCGCAGGCCCUUCCUCCCACCAGCUCCCCCGAGGCCCAGGCCUGGAGUCUGCACAGAGCUUUGCAAGAGAAAGUGGGAAAGUCAGACCUCGCCGAACUAUCUACUCCCCUACCAAAGAAAGCUCCAAGAUACCCUCCUUGACACUAGCAGACCCCCUCCUUAACACCGGAAGACUUGGCCGGGCUACUUAGUGUUUAAUUUGUUUUGAUGGAGCUGUGACCAC